rnacentral:rRNA from 1 species
AGUGAACGCUGGCGGUAUGCCUAACACAUGCCAGUCGAACGGCAGCACACUAAGAGCUUGCUCUUACGGGUGGCGAGUGGCGGACGGGUGAGGAAUACAUCGGAAUCUACUUUUUCGUGGGGGAUAACGUAGGGAAACUUACGCUCAUACCGCAUACGCCCUACGGGUUAAAGCAGGGGAUCUUCGGCCCUUGCGCGAUUGAAUGAGCCGAUGUCGGAUUAGCUAGUUGGCGGGGUGAAGGCCCACCAAGGCUACGAUCCGUAGCUGGUCUGAGAGGAUGAUCAGCCACACUGGAACUGAGACACGGUCCAGACUCCUACGGGAGGCAGCAGUGGGGAAUAUUGGACAAUGGGCGCAAGCCUGGUCCAGCCAUACCGCGUGGGUGAAGAAGGACUUAGGGUGGUAAAGCCCUUUUGUUGGGAAAGAAAAGCAGCAGGUUAAUACCCCGCUGUUCUGACGGUACCCAAAGAAUAAGCACCGGCUAACUUCGUG